ensembl:snoRNA SNORD98 small nucleolar RNA, C/D box 98
GGGAAGUAAUGUUUAAAAACCCAUUCCAUUUCUGAAGCAAGUUGUGGAAUAAAACAUACUGAUCCC